GGUCGGUUAGCUCAGUUGGUUAGAGCGUGGUGCUAAUAGCUUUGUUCUCUUGCUAGAAGACGCCAAGGUCGCGGGUUCGACCCCCGUACUGACCA